rnacentral:sRNA from 1 species
AACGAGACAAAAGAGAGGGCGAAGAAAGAGCAGAACAGCUUUGCUUUUUACACGAAAAGAAAAUUGUACUACUUUCUUUUUACACACGAUCGUCCGCUUUGAAAGUUCUCUUCUCGGAAUGGUGGUUGGUGGACAUUGGCAGUCAGAUUUGGUGGCAACGUUUUCGUUAAAGCCGCCAGCUUGGGCUUUUUAUGUAAAUACGAGUAU